GACGAACGUUGGCGGCGUGCUUAAUACAUGCAAGUCAACUGAAGCAGUGGUAGCAAUAUCGCUGUGGAGGUGGCGCACGGGUGAGUAACACGUAGGUAAUCUGCCUUCAGGUCUGGCAUAACUCCGGGAAACCGGGGCUAAUAGCAGAUGAUGCAGCGGCUCGACAUCGAGACAGUUGUUAAAGCUAUGGCGCCUGAAGAUGAGCCUGCGUCUGAUUAGCUAGUUGGCGGGGUAACGGCCCACCAAGGCAACGAUCAGUAGCUGGUCUGAGAGGAUGAUCAGCCACACUGGAACGGAGACACGGUCCAGACUCCUACGGGAGGCAGCAGUAAGGAAUAUUGCUCAAUGGGAGAAAUCCUGAAGCAGCAACGCCGCGUGAGGGACGAAGGGCUUUUGCUUGUAAACCUCUGUAGUGAGAGAAAAAAAUCCCAAUCUUUGGGACAUGAUGGUAUCUCAAAAGUAAGCCCCGGCUAACUACGU
rnacentral:rRNA from 1 species